rnacentral:misc_RNA from 1 species
AAAAUUUUAUGUAAUAUUGGGUGUAGGGUACAUAAAUCGAACAAAAAUUUAUUGAUCCAGUGAUCCUAUCUACAGAGCCCUUGUGGCUGCUCUUCUGGGUUUCCAGCGGAAUCGUGUGGAAGAAGAUGGAGCACUGGAACAGGAUCUUCAGGUCUGGGCUUCCUUCCUGGACCUGUCAUUUAGGGCUCUGGGUCUUGUUAGGCUUUUUGGGGUUGUCUCUGUAAUUGGGCCUACGCCUUAACUUCUUUUGCAUACUAUUUUUAAGGCCAGUUGUAAUGUUUACCAACCUAAUCCAAUGAAUAUUACUACAGUCUUCAAACAAGAAGCAAUCUUCUUUAAACUGAUCCACUGCUGUAAUAUAUAUUGAACAAAGAUUUCCAGGAAAAAGAAUACCAAUUCGAACCGAGAUAAACAAAAGAUUGAUUUAGUAAUUUGAAGGCCCACCUCGAAUAGAAUCCAACCCUGCUGCCCGAUCAAUUCCAUUUUUGCCUAACCUGCCUUAAUAGUCAACUAAAAACUAUGCUCUCCUUAGACACAAAUUGGGAUUAUGUUGGCACAAAUUAAGUGUAGAAUGAUGUCAAAACUCUUCCGUGUUGUAGAUGUUGAUCAGUUUUCAGAACAAAUCUGCAUGAACAGAGGGUAGGACUACCCAUGUGUCCCUGCCUAAACUAAAUAACAUUGCAAACACCACAUAGCCACAUAUAGGAAAAGAAGCAAGCCGACACUUAUUCCUCCUAAAACUCAGCACCACCAGUAUCUUCAGCCUUCGUGGGAAUGACACGAAUUAUUUCUCAUGUUCUAAGGCUCAUAAAGCUACCUUUAAAAGCUUAAAACUUACAAGAUCAGUCUGGCUUUGCUGUGUAUCGCUUUUGUUUUCUUUCUCAUUCCAAUGGACAGGCAUUCCUGCAAUGCAACACCAAAAACAAUUUGUCAUGUGAAUCUCCAGGCAUCACACAUCAGACACUGAUACAAGUGGUUGCGCUAGAUUAAUCUGCUGAAAUUACUCGAUUAACCAGGCUGCCAAUACUGCAGUUCAAAUAUGAAGAAUAAAAGAAUAGCAUAAAGGAAGAUAUUAGAAUACGUGUGAACUAAAAUAAGUAGGCAAUUGAG